GAUGAACGCUGGCGGCGUGCCUAAUACAUGCAAGUCGAACGAACAGACGAUGAGCUUGUUCCUCUGUCGUUAGCGGCGGACGGGUGAGUAACACGUGGAUAACCUACCUAUAAUACUGGUAUAAUUUCGGGAAAGCGGAGCAAAUACCGGAUAAUAUAUUGAACCGCAUGGUUCAAUAGUAAAAGACGGUUUUGCUGUCACUUAUAGAUGGAUCCGCGCCGCAUUAGCUAGUUGGUAAGGUAACCGCUUUCCAAGGCUACGAUGCGUAGCCGACCUGAGAGGCGGAUAGCCCACCCGAGAAGUGAACCAGCGUCAAAGCUACUAAGGUAGGCCGCAGUCGGGAAUCUUACGCAAUAGGCGUGAGUAUGACGCAGCGAAGCCAAGCGAGUGAUGACAGCUUUGUGAUCGUAAAACCCUCUUAUUAGGGAAGAACCACUGUGUCAGGAACUAAGCCCGUCUUGACGGUAAUUAAUAAGAAAGCAACGGCUAACUACGUG
rnacentral:rRNA from 1 species